rnacentral:rRNA from 1 species
CAAGGCAUCCGCUGAGGAAGGGGAAGGUGGAAGGGGAAAAGUAGUUGCCCCUUCCAGAAAAGCGAGCGUAAGCGAGCGAUCGGUGACGGCGUGCCUUUUGCAUAAUGAGCCUGCGAGUUACGGUAUCCAGCGAGGUUAAGCCGAUAGGUGAAGCCGAAGCGAAAGCGAGUCUGAAUAGGGCGGUAUAGUUGGAUGUCGUAGACCCGAAACCAGUCGAUCUAUCCAUGGGCAGGUUGAAGCGGCGGUAAGACGCCGUGGAGGACCGAACCGUUUGAGGUUGAAAACUCUUCGGAUGACCUGUGGAUAGGGGUGAAAGGCUAAUCAAGGCUGGUGAUAGCUGGUACUCCCCGAAAUGUAUUUAGGUACAGCCUCGGGAGUUAAACAUUGGGGGUAGAGCACUAUUAGGGCUAGGGGCCGUACAGGUUACUGAACUCUGAUAAACUCCGAAUACCAAUGCGAAUUUCCCGGGAGUGAGACUGCGGGUGAGAAGAUCCGUAGUCGAGAGGGUAAGAGCCCAGACCGUCAGCUAAGGUCCCAGAAUUCAUGCUAAGUGGUGAAGGAUGUGAAGAUGGAGAAACAGCCAGGAGGUUGGCUUAGAAGCAGCCAUCCUUUAAAGAUAGCGUAACAGCUCACUGGUCUAGCGUCUUUGCGCCGAAGAUAUAACGGGGCUAAGCAUGAUACCGAAGCUACGGAUUUGCGUUUUUUAGAACGUAAGUGGUAGGGGAGCAUUCCACUCAGCGACGAAGGAGUACUGUAAGGUAUGCUGGAGCGUGUGGAAGGGAGAAUGCAGGCAUGAGUAGCGAUAAUACGGGUGAAAAACCCGUACGCCGAAAGUCUAAGGUUUCCACCGGCAGGGUAAUCCGCGGUGGGUUAGUCGGCCCCUAAGACGAGCCCGAGAGGGGUAGUUGAUGGGAAACAGGUCAAUAGUCCGUACCGACGUAUGAUCGUUAAAACGAUGGGGUGACGGAGAAGGUUAGGCGAGCCGGUUAUUGGAUUCCGGUUUAAUGAUGUAGGGAGUGACUUAGGCAAAUCCGGGUCACAUUAAUCCUGAGGUCAGUAUACGAGGGGUGUAAGAACCCCGGAGUCGUUGAUACCCCGCUUCCAAGAAAAACCUCUAAGGAGAGCAUGCGUUGACCGUACCGCAAACCGACACAGGUAGACGGGAUGAGAAUUCUAAGGCGUUUGAGAUAACUCCGGUUAAGGAACUCGGCAAAUUGUCACCGUAACUUCGGGAGAAGGUGAGCCUAUUGUAAGUGAAGGGUGUACACCCGGAGCUGAAGUGGGUCGCAGAUGAGAGGCCCAGGCGACUGUUUAUCAAAAACAUAGCACUCUGCAAACUCGUAAGAGGAAGUAUAGGGUGUGACGCCUGCCCGGUGCUGGAAGGUUAAUAGGAGAUGUGCAAGCAUUGAAUUGAAGCCCCAGUAAACGGCGGCCGUAACUAUAACGGUCCUAAGGUAGCGAAAUUCCUUGUCAGGUAAGUUCUGACCUGCACGAAUGGCGUAACGAUCUGGGCACUGUC